UGUGAAAGCCCAAGGGUGAAAAUAAGAAGGAACGGAUGGUUCACUUCCUUCAUCCCCUCCAUCGCUCAGCCGCGACCAAGGGAGAAAGAAGCAGGUCGCGACGCUGUCUCCACCACCGACCGCGGCACUCACACGGCGGAGCACCCCACACGCCGUCUCUGUUUCCACCUCUAUCAACCUAAACCGAAAUACAACUACCUAAACAAAUCGAAAUCUAAAGCGAUCCGGCAACGGAACAAAAUUGAAUGGCGAACGCAGACGGAAUGAGAUUUGAUUCCGAUUCACAUUACAACAAAUGAAGUAAUCAUUGCGAAGAGAAGAAGAGAUCCUACCGACGAUGGCGAAGGAGGCGGAUUCGUCGGCAACGUCGAAUUCAAACUCAGAAUAGUUAUGGAGUUGUUGUGAGACUUUGAAGUUCGAUUUGUAGAGUUUUGUAGAUGGUAAUCUAUUGAGAGUUGAAGUUGCAAUUUGUUGCUCGAAUCGUUGUGCAUGAGUUGUUGGAGAUGGCGAGGAUAUGGAGUUGAGAGUUUUAUUUGCAGUGUGAGUUUUAUUUCAGGAAGAUGAAGAUGGUGAGAGUUGUGUUAUGCAGGUUUCGUGAUUCUGGAAAAAGGGGAAAGAAGAAGAACUUCAAGGCUAAUUCAGCUAUUUAUAUAGCUAUUGUGUAUUGGAUGUGAGAGUAAUUGAAUUGGACUUGGAUGUGCGUUUCAAUUGUGUUACGUUAUGUGUUUUCACCUUGUUUCA